GAGGUAAGGAAAGCGAAGUAGACAUGCAUAUUCACAUAACACGUAGGAGCACGUAGGGUCAAAUGAAGCGCAAAUGAAGGAUAGAGUGUACCUCCCUUGAAUUGACGCCCCAAUGAAGUGAAAUUAUUCAAUUACCCUCCAAAAUAAUAAAAAGGUCAAGGCACCACUUUAUUUAAAAAAUUAGAAGAAAUGGGCAAAACAAGGCUCACUUAGUCAUAAAGUCCCUAAAGUCAUAACUUAAGUGCAAUUGACAGAGCAUGGUAGUUAAUUGAAGCAAAACAAACAAUGAAGUUGCACAAAUUAAAAUUAUCAAGGACCAAUUUGAUGAAAUUCUUUAAUUAAUUGGGUCAUAGUGGCAUUAGGAGAGACUUAGGGGGUCAAAGUGUAAUAUUUCAGAAAGCUUUCAUGCAUGCUACGUAAAUCUCUUUGUUUUUCUGGUUCCUUUCAUCUGCAACAUGCUAAACUUCUCAAAUACAAUCCUAAUAUGCAGCUAACAUCUCACCAAUCAAUCAAAGCCAUCGGCAUUAAACUAAAAACUAACACAGAAUUCCACAAGCCAACAAAUUAUGAUGGGAUAAUGUAAAUUCCAGCAACCUUUCAUGCAAACUCAAGAAGAUUUCUGCAAACGGAAAAGUGCAAGCUUGCUGCAUUUCUCAUUUCCAUUUCCAAGCAUUGAUCAAAAACAUUUCAUCUAAGCAUAACCAUUUCAUCAUUGCAGGAGUAAGACAGCAACUCUUAUUGCAGGAUUAAAACAAUAAAUGAAACUGACCACCAGAGGUAAAACUAAACAGCAAAACAGCAAUAGAAAGAAAGGAAAAAAUGCCGCAGGGUUUUUCUUUUACAAUAUUCCAGCUGCGGCUUUCUACAUUAAAUCAUGCCAAAAGCUCGCCAGUCAGCCGGAUUCCAGUUAUCAAAACUAACUCCAAUGCACAUGAACUCGUCGUAGGGAUGCAGCCAAACAUUCGAGAUACCCAUCAGGGGCGACAAGAACUAAACAGCAAAAGAAAGGGAAAAAAUGCAGCAAGAACUCUCUCUGCAGAUUUUCAUUCGCAAACUUCAUUCACGAGCCUUUGGCAAACAAAGUAUAUGCAAAAUCUUCGAUCC
rnacentral:lncRNA from 1 species